rnacentral:rRNA from 1 species
UACGUAGGGUGCGAGCGUUAAUCGGAAUUACUGGGCGUAAAGCGUGCACAGGCGGCGCGUUAAGACAGGUGUGAAAGCCCCGAGCUUAACUUGGGAAUUGCACUUGUGACUGGCGUGCUGGAGUGUGGCAGAGGGAGGUGGAAUUCCACGUGUAGCAGUGAAAUGCGUAGAGAUGUGGAGGAACACCGAUGGCGAAGGCAGCCUCCUGGGCCAGCACUGACGCUCAUGCACGAAAGCGUGGGGAGCAAACAGG